CAUUCAUCUUGUAGUUCUUGGAGUAGUUCUUCCACUGUCAGUCACUCAGUGUGUGAUGUGUGUGUAGUGUAUCGCGGGGAGAGUGUCGUUAUACUGUUGAAGCUUUAUAAAAGCUUAGAAAAGAAAUUGGACAGAGUUUAAAAUGUAUAUUAGAAGACAGAUAUACAGACAGACGAAUAUAUAUAUGUGUGUGUGUAUGUGCGUUCGCGUAAGAUGGUAUAUUGAAUCGGUGGAAAAGCCUAAUGCACGAACAAAAGUCCUUGUCUCCGCUACCUGGUGUCUUUGUUUAUGUGGCCGCAGACAUCGCUGUUGACAUCGCUGUUGACAUCGCUGCGUGGGAGUGAAGUUUUGUCCUGGUUCAGCUGGGUCAGUCUACAUGUAGCACAAGUAGAGUUCGUGCAAGAUGUCAGGUUGUCUCGAGGUUAAUGCAAACCCCAUCCCCAAAGCUCCAACUCCAACUCGGCUGGAACGAAACCUUUGGAGCUGCCGUAGCUGAUAAAGCUUCAGUGUAACGCCUGACGAUGUCUUCAUUCCCCUACUGAAGUCUCCCAGCUCAGGCUGACAUAUUUCAACACCUUGUAGGAGUCCAUCCUGCAUAAUGGAGUGUGAUAAGGAAAAGUUAACUUCGUUCCCACUGUGUAACUACCAUAUAGAAAUGGCCAGCAGCACAAUGCUAAUAUAUCAUUUAUUAAAUAAAA